GCAUCGUUAGGGGCUUGGCUAAAACAUUAUCAGAGUUUGCAACGGAAGGCGUAACUGAAAUAAUCAGUGUUUACAGCGGAAUGCAUAACUGAGAUACAUGUAUGAAGACAUGUAUCCUUUCUGAGCCUACUUUAAGUUCGACAAAAACUCCACUCAGCAACACUUCAUCGCCCAUCACAACUCAACCUGCACAAACAUAAACAUCGAAGGGCUAAGUACAAGAGUACUUAGUGGGCAGUUGCCAAGCAUAUAACAUAACAUCAUUAACAAUUUCACAAUAUCGCAUAAGAGGCAUGAGUUUCUUUCAUAUCCUUUGCUCAUUAAACAUUUCCAAAUUCAUAAAUAGCAUGAGCGCAUUCUUCAUCAUCAACAAUCAUAAACAAGCAUCGUGUCGUGGAGAAGGCCUUCCCCAACGAGCACGGGCAUCGCGCCGUGAAGGGGGCCUCCCUCAGCGGUCACGGCAUCAUACUAUUGAGGGAGGCCUCCCCCAAUAGACGCUGUAACACUGGAAUACUGGCAUCGCGCCGCUAGGGAGGCCUCCCUCAGCGGACACGGGCAUCGCGCCGUGAGGAAGGCCCUCCUCAGCGGACACGGCAUCGUAGUGUUAUUGUGGGCUCCCCCAACAGACGCAAGCAUCAAUCACAGGCAUAAACUUAUCAGCGUAAAGCAUUCAAGCGUAAAUAAGCGUAAUCAAACUUAAAUCAUUUAGCGUAAAGCAUAAUAAAGCAUACCAUACUUGAAGAUCCAAUUUGCAUUAUAAAGCAUAACACAUGCAUAGCAUUUUAUUUACGCGUAAGAAAUUGCCCACCUGAUAGCAAAGUUUUGCUAAGGUACUCUAACUCCUUGUGUAGUUCUUACUCUUGCGCUUGACCUUAAUCACGAGAAUAUAAAAUAAGACAUUGCCUCGAGGAAAAUUCUUAAUUAAUGAGAAAGCGUAAUUUAACUAUGCAUGAAUCUGGUAUGCAUGAACUAAUCUUCUGAGCGAUUAUCGGGAAUUCUACUAUUAAUCCUCGUUAAUAGAUUUAGCUAAUUCUCGUCUAACGCGGUCGAAUAAAACUGUGAUUCUUCCUUCCUCAUCGAAAUAUUCUAGUCGUGAAAUAAACCUCGCCUUUGUACUCGAUCGGAAAUAAAAGAACUAUCUCGGCUUUAAUCGAGGUGUGACCUCGUAGAAAUUAUCGGGCUUUUCGAUAGAAACAUAAUUACUAACGUAAUCUCAAAUAAUUAAUAGGCUCAAAAGAGAGUAGCCAAUUAAUUAAAUAAAACGAGUAGCUUAACUCAAAUAAAUAAUGACAGCUCAAAAUAAUAAUUUGGCCUUAAGGAAACAAUAAUAUAAGCUCAAUAAUUAAGAGGCUCAACAAGGCAGCCUCAUAAUUAAUUAAGUAGAAGUGGGCCUGAAUAAAUAGUACGAAAGCCCAAUCAAAAUAAUUCAUUGGCUUAAGUAAUUAAAUAAAUCUUGGCCCAAUGAAUAAAUAAUGAAUAGUUGGGCUAAGUUAAAUAAGUACGCAAGGCUCAGCUGCAAUUAAAUAAGCCUCGGCCCAAAGAAAUAAAAUAAUAAGGCCCAAAUUAAAAUAAGGUCUGUUGGGCUCAAAGUGAAGGAUCCGGCCCAAAGAAUCAUAUAAUUCAGCCCAAUUGAAAUAAUUCAUGAAGGCCCAACAAUUCUGCCCAAGAAUAGAAUGAAUUAUUCUGAGCUUAAAAUUAAAUAAAACUCGGCCCAGCUGAUAUGGUACAACAGCCCAAAGAAUUAAAAGACAAAGCCCAAUUUACUUAAAAUAAACAAGCUCCAAAAGAAUUAAAAAUCGAAGGCCCAUUUGUAGAAUAAAAAUAAAUUAGGCCCAACUUAAAUUAAAUAACUAAAGCCCAAUUGAAUUAAUAAAAGAGGCCCAAAGUAAAUAAUAAUGAAGCCCAAGUCAUUAAAAUAACAUCAAGCCCAACUCCUCUCUCUCACUCUCGGCCCUGUUCUUCUUCUCGCUCUCUCUUAUCAGACGAGCCCCUUAUUCUUUCUCAAAAUAGUCGAGAACUCCCAUCUCAACAUCAGUCGAUGAUUUCAGUCGCCGCCUCUGCUCCGACCGGCGUCGGCUACCGCCGAGUUUAGGUCCGGCGCGACCGCACCCGUCUCUAUCUCCGUAUCUUCUCUCUUGCUGAAGUUCGUCCGAGGUGAGAGGGCGUGCCCUAGGUCCUUCCUGACAUCGCAAUCGUCGCUGCAAUUCCCGGCGAACCGCCGGCGUCUCGUUCGUUCUCCUGCGUCGGACUCUCCUCUCCGCAGAGCCCCAAUUCGAGCCCUAAUCGUCAAAUAUCAGGUCGCCGCUGCACCGCGUCUCCGUCAGAAUCUGAUGGCUGGUCGCCGUUCUAGUGCUGCUCCGGCCUGGAGUCGGUCGGCCUCGCUCACCUUCUCCUCCCCUCGUUUCAUCUUUCAACAUAUCCGCAACCGAGAUUCAAGCUUCCUAUUCUGAGAAUUCAGCCCGCCUCUACUGCCUCUUCUCCGCAAUCGUUGAGUGAAGUUGUUGCUGUUGUCGCGCUGAGGUUCUGCGUGACAGUAGGCCUUCUAAUUUCACCGUCGACGCUGUCCGAAUUUCCAGAAAGAAAUGGAUCGCCGCUGCAGAGCAGCCGCUGCUCGGCUCGGUACCGGUCAGCUUCGUUCGCCCCUGCCCCUACCGUCGUUGUCUUAGUCUCAAACCGACCGAGGCAGUCAGCCCGCUUUUCCUAAGGCUAAGUCGAACUCGCCUCUCCCCUAUUUCUAUCGGGUUUUGUUUUUAAACGAAAUAAGGCAAGGACAAGGUGUAAACUAUCUUUGUUUUGCAUAAUACAUAGUAUGCUCGUUUUAAAACUACGUAUGAACUUAUUUCUGAUCGUGUGUCUUGCUAAGUUCAUAAGCAUAUAUACUCGUUCUAAACUUUGUAUCAUUUACCAAAUCAUGUAUGUUGGAAGAAAUGCAAAUGGAUUGAAUGAGCUGAGCCUAGUGUUUACCUCUUAUGAAAAUAAGUUGAUUUCUCCAGAUGAUGGGUGGGAGUGAGUUGCUGUAAAUUGAUGUUUGUGAUGGUGUUCGACUAUGCAAGAAAUUCUCUGUUAUAACAUGGCUGCAGAUAUAAGGGAAUGUUGGAUGCAUUCUUGCGUGUGGUGGGGAAGGAAGUAAGUGGAAAGUUUGGUGGAGUGGAGUUGGUGGAGUGGAAAAGGGUGGUGGCGCAGUUGGCUAGUGCAUAGGUCUCAUAGAUUUUUGUUAAGUGGAGUUGGUGGUUGAUAAUAUAAUUAGAUAGUGGAAGACGAUUGUCUUAAUCAUGAUCUUCCUCCUAAAGCCAGCAAAUUCGAGAGUUUUUUUUUUACCCAAAUGUACUGCGUCACUCUUGCUGCCAGUGGUGAGCUUAUAUGCAAAGAUUUCUUCCUGUACUCAGAAAAA
rnacentral:lncRNA from 1 species